rnacentral:rRNA from 1 species
UACGUAGGGUGCGAGCGUUAAUCGGAGUUACUGGGCGUAAAGAGUGCGUAGGCGGUUCGUUAUGUCUGCUGUGAAAGCCCCGGGCUUAACCCGGGAAUGGCAGUGGAAACUGGCGGGCUUGAGUGUGGCAGAGGGGGGUGGAAUUCCGCGUGUAGCAGUGAAAUGCGCAGAUAUCAGGAGGAACACCGGUGGCGAAGGCGGGUCUCUGGGCCGAUACUGACGCUGAGGAGCGAAAGCGUGGGGAGCGAACAGG